rnacentral:rRNA from 1 species
AUUGAACGCUGGCGGCAUGCCUUACACAUGCAAGUCGAACGGUAACGCGGGGCAACCUGGCGACGAGUGGCGAACGGGUGAGUAAUAUAUCGGAACGUGCCCGAAUAGUGGGGGAUAGCCCGGCGAAAGCCGGAUUAAUACCGCAUACGACCUGAGGGUGGAAAGCGGGGGGAUCGCAAGACCUCGCGCUAUUGGAGCGGCCGAUAUCAGAUUAGGUAGUUGGUGGGGUAAAGGCCUACCAAGCCUACGAUCUGUAGCUGGUCUGAGAGGACGACCAGCCACACUGGGACUGAGACACGGCCCAGACUCCU